rnacentral:lncRNA from 1 species
AACAAAUUUAUUGGCUUUUGCUUUUUCAGGGUGCUGUGUGGGUCCCUGGCAAGUCCCAUGGUGGUGUUGAGUGGCAGGGACAGAUGCUUAAUUCACUUUGAAGAUGUUUAUGGAUCUAUACAGAGAUGGUGGAGGUUUAAAAAAAGGGGGAGAGAUAGGAGGCAAAGACAGAACAGCCCAGAGCACCCCUCCCUACCUCACCCAUACCCCAAGCAAUGCAAAGGACAGAUGCCACAGGAUGGAAUGGGACAAAGGACAUAGAGGGGGGAAAAGUAGGCUAGGACUGUCUGUGAUUCUAAGGUGGAUUCCACUAGCAAGACCAAACUGAGGAAGGAAAAAGAAAAGGAGAAGGAAUUCAGGAUGCCAAAGACAGUAGAUCCUCACUGGCAUGGUUCAGCUGCCUGUAAUAAGUGUGGAGGUCUCUGGCUCAGGGGUGGCCACUGUCCUACAGGAAGGCACCUUCAUGGGGACACUUGCUACUGUCUGGAGCGCCAUGGCAGGGCCUGAGCAGAAAGGAAAUUGAGGCUAUGCUGCCAAGAAUGGUGUCUCUUUUCAGAGCAGGAGAACUACGUUCCUGAUGGCUAGGGCCCUGGGCUUAGAGCAUCUUGGUCACCUGACACGGAUUUCUCAGACAGUUGAAGGCUUGGAGCAGCUUGGGUAGAGACAGGACUUUCAUACAGGGGCAGCAAGCUCUGGCUGUCUGGACCUGGGGUGCCUCAUUCUGAGCAUUAAACAGGAAGUGGGUGGUCUAUAGCUCAGCUUCCCCUAAGGACCUCAGUACCAACUGAGGACCAGGGUUCAAAGGGCUUUCUGCAGCCAGUCUCCCCAUCCCCCCAAAGUACAUGCAUGGGGAGGCAAGCCCAUGAAUAGGAUGGCUUGCCUAAGAGUCACAGCAAGUCGACACCUGAGACCUCUAGUGCAUAGCUGGGCCACCUCCAGUGCUUCCACAACCUAGCUGGAUGUGUCUCUCACUUGUCUGGGUGUAGGGCUAAGUGCCGGAUGUGUACAUUUUAGUGUCAUCCCUCCCGGAGCAGGGGUGUCUGUGCCUAUGCCUCUUCUUUCAGCAAAAAGCAGAUUGGGCAGAGCAAGUGUCCACACUGAUGACUCCUAAGCUCUCCCUGCUUACAGGGAGAUUUGCCCAUCUUGGAGGAGGCCAGAGCAACGGGCAUCUCAAGCUUGUGUCAGGUGCUUGGCAUCGAGGUUCAGGAGCGUGAGACAGAGAGGCUGGGGGAAGGAGUGAAGAGAGAACGGAGAGAAGGAUG